rnacentral:lncRNA from 1 species
GACUAAUUGAGAAAUUCAACCUUUGAUUUAUAGUUGAUGCUAAAAGCCUUUAAGUAUAUAUGUAUUUAUAGGUAAUAGUACUACUACUACCACUGGUACUACUACCAAUAAUAUUAUUAUUACUGCUACUACUACUGUUGUUAUUGCUACUACUGGUUUAACUGCUACUACUGCUAAUAUUGCUCAUACUCCUACUGCUACUACAGCUACUACUACUACUACUGUUGCUGCUACUGUUACUGCUACUGUUACUGCUAAUAUUGCUACUGCUGCUAUUAGUGUUAUUGUUACUAAUACUGCUAUUACUACUGCUGCUGCUGUUAUUGCUACUGGUACUACUACUAAUACUAUUUAUUCUUCUUGUUCUUUUCUUUUGCUGCAUUCUAGAGUGCAACCAGGUGAGCGCUACUCUU